rnacentral:rRNA from 1 species
UGGGUGACCUGCCCUCAGCUCUGGGAUAAGCCUGGGAAACUGGGUCUAAUACUGGAUAUUCACUUCUCAUCGCAUGGUGGGUGGUGGUAAAGUUUUUCGGCUGGGGAUGGGCUCGCGGCCUAUCAGCUUGUUGGUGGGGUGAUGGCCUACCAAGGCGACGACGGGUAGCCGGCCUGAGAGGGCGACCGGCCACACUGGGACUGAGACACGGCCCAGACCUCCGUACGGGAG